AAUUGUAGAAUCCGUCUGAUCUUCAAGACAUAAGACUGGUUCCCAAUCUUGAUGUUUUUCCUAAGCUUGGUUCCAGAGAUCAGCACAUUGGGAUAAUAAUAUGGACGGUUGUAAACCCAAUGGUAAUGGAAGAACUGGGGAGCCCCAGAAGCAUAUUCCUGGACUGGGGUCUGGUGCAGGCAGUCAGACCACACGUGGAAGCCCGUAUGCUGAGCUGCUGCAAUAUCUAAGUCCACCUGACUUGAAGGAUGACCAUCCUCGUACAGACAACGGCUUGCCACAAUCGCUAUAAUUGGAAGGACUAAGAAAGUAACUUUCCACCUUGUGAUCUGAUCUUUCAAUUUUGUUCACACUGUAUAUAUUCUUUCCACCCACAAUAUAUGUGUUAAACCAUUUGUCUUUGACUGUCUUAAUCAUGACUAAGUGUGUGUGUGCAUUUGGGGUGCUGAAGGGGCAUAGCUUAAGUUGUAGAAAUUA